UAAUAUUUCCCCGUCUUCUCUCUAGAUAAUCCUCCGUCCCUCUCGUUUCGUUCGGCAGAAGGACCAGUGGAGUACCACAAGCUGCAGGGCGCCAGACUUCUCGAUCUCAGUUUCUCCACUCGUGAUCUUCAGUUCACCUCGCCUGUAAGGAUUCCGCGGCACUUUCUACAGUGCCGGGCGAGCAGAAAGGCGAGCGGCCUGCGAAGUACCGCCGGCUAGGUUUCCGGGACAAAAUGAGACAAAAUCAGAAUUUUAGCAUGAUAUCAUCGAAGAGAAAGAGGAGAUUGAGAAGAUAGAAAGAAGAGGGAAGAAUUUUUUGUAGCUUCGGAAAGAUAGACUGUGCCGAGAAGCCUAGUUGAGGUUCUUGAACUAAACAUAAAAGUCAUAGCAACCUCCAACUAGCUAUCGAAGAUAACGAUUUUAGCGUGGCAACCGAAGUUGGUUGCUGGUAGUGGAGGAUUGCAAAAAGGCCGCAAAACGGCAUGUGCGAGCAACAAGUGGUGGUAGAUUGAACAGCUCCUAAAUACAUUCUCCACUACCAGCAGAUUUGAUACAAGGGUGUAAUCUCUGCAAAAUGGAUGUACAAUGGAGAUUUGAUCUCCAAUCUGUUGUACGCAUAUAUGAACUUCUAAGUUGUAUUUUGAUGUAAUGUCAUGUAUUAUUUUUGUUGUAAAUAUCAAUCCCAUUGUUGAAACUUCA